ensembl:misc_RNA Metazoa_SRP Metazoan signal recognition particle RNA
GCUGGGCAUGGUGGCUCACGCCUGUAAUCCCAGCACUUUGGGAGGCCGAGGCAGGUGGAUCACCUGAGGUCAGGAGUUCAAGACCAGCCUGACCAACAUGGUGAAACCCUGUCUCUA